CUCUUCGUAGCUCAGAUGGUAGAGCAACUGACUCUUAAUCAGUGGGUCGUGGGUUCGAUUCCCUCCGAGGAGA
rnacentral:tRNA from 1 species